rnacentral:lncRNA from 1 species
CCACUUUUCAUUGGUUGUUUUCAUUCAGGCCCGGUUGAUUCUUGUAAAUACCAUUAGGAGCACUAGGAGGAGCCAGAGGAUCCUGAUUGUUUCACAGAUUAUCUGUCUCACUUACCACUGUAGCCAGCGGAGUCAGGACAGCCAAGAUAGCGAUGUCCGGAACCGACCACACGGAUUUUCACAACAGCUCUCCAGAAACCUAUGGGUGACCUCACAGUGGCUCCGUCUAGUAUUUAUUAUACAGUCGAUGAAACGAACCACACAGGUACAGAGAAUAGGGCAAGAACCAUUAUCUGUUUGUCAAAAUGCCAGUGUCUUUAAAAUGGGUGCUUUCUGUAAUAUCUGUAAAGGGCAGCUAUGGCUUAAUUAAGGUAAGUUACAAAAAUUAAUAAAAAGUGUAACAUUGAUUGCAGGUGUGACAGGAUGAGGCACUUAAUAAGAGUACUAGUAGCUACAUACCAAUCCACCACCUCGACCUCUACACCCUUUCUUUCUGCCUCGCAGUGGAAGUAAAUCAAGAGGAUUUUAAGGUUUUACUUUAAGAUGUUGGCCUAUUUCUUCAAUAAUAGGUCCUGUGGUCUGUGGAUUAUGCAGGGAUUCUGGAAGGAGAUGUUACUCUAGGAUUUUUUUAAUCUUUUAGUGCUGAGAGCACAUCUUUCAUUCACCUCCACUGUAUUGUGGAGGCAGAGGUCCAAGAGACAGAUCAGCUCAAAACCUGUGCAAAUAAAAUCAAAUUGAAAUCCAGUCACCACUCGCGAUAAGUGAGAGUAUGUUCUUUUUUUCAUAAUUUAGGUGAACUGACCCUUUAAUUCCCCUGUGGUACAUUUCUGUAUACAGAAUUCAGGCUAACCUCUUCCUCUUUUAUCAUAUUCUGACAGAAACCCAGGCAACACGCAGCAAAGCUCAUUCACAGCUCGUACAUAUUUAUUUCACUUCUGAACAUGGAGGAAAUGGAUAUUUCACAUCCUUCAUCUUUCUAAAGACAAAUGAUGGAAUCUUCCACUAAUGGUAUUUAUGUUAUUAACCCAUUAAUGUCCACAGUGGAAUUCCCUUUACAGCAUUCAAUCCUUUGAACUCAAUACAAAUGGUCAGGCCGGUGUCCACGCCGGCAUUUUUUUGACUUAUUGUGAUGUAAUUUCUGUAAGUACCUUGAAAUUAUUUAU